rnacentral:piRNA from 1 species
UAAAAAAAUGUCUAACUUCAA